rnacentral:rRNA from 1 species
GUGGGGAAUAUUGCACAAUGGGCGAAAGCCUGAUGCAGCAACGCCGCGUGAGGGAUGACGGCCUUCGGGUUGUAAACCUCUUUUAGCAGGGAAGAAGCGAAAGUGACGGUACCUGCAGAAAAAGCGCCGGCUAACUACGUGCCAGCAGCCGCGGUAAUACGUAGGGCGCAAGCGUUGUCCGGAAUUAUUGGGCGUAAAGAGCUCGUAGGCGGGUUGUCGCGUCUGCUGUGAAAACUGGAGGCUCAACCUCCAGCCUGCAGUGGGUACGGGCAGACUAGAGUGCGGUAGGGGAGAUUGGAAUUCCUGGUGUAGCGGUGGAAUGCGCAGAUAUCAGGAGGAACACCGAUGGCGAAGGCAGAUCUCUGGGCCGUAACUGACGCUGAGGAGCGAAAGCAUGGGGAGCGAACAGGAUUAGAUACCCCAGUAGUCC